CAAUAGCGUAUAUUAAAGUUGUUGCAGUUAAAAAGCUCGUAGUUGAACCUUGGGCUUGGCUGGCCGGUCCAUCUUUUUUGAUGCGUACUGGACCCAGCCGAGCCUUUCCUUCUGGCUAGCCUUUUGGCGAACCAGGACUUUUACUUUGAAAAAAUUAGAGUGUUCAAAGCAGGCCUUUGCUCGAAUAUAUUAGCAUGGAAUAAUAGAAUAGGACGUUAUGGUUCUAUUUUGUUGGUUUCUAGGACCAUCGUAAUGAUUAAUAGGGACGGUCGGGGGUAUCAGUAUUCAGUUGUCAGAGGUGAAAUUCUUGGAUUUACUGAAGACUAACUACUGCGAAAGCAUUUACCAAGGACGUUUUCAUUAA
rnacentral:rRNA from 1 species